GUCCUGGCCCAAAUGCAAUCACUGAACCCAGCUGCCAGCGCACAGCCCCCAGGGGAGGCACUGCUCUACCUAAGAACAUCUCCACAGAGUUUGUUGCUCUUUCUCAUUUUGGACCUGCUUUUGGAGAGGGUUCACCUCUCUGUGUGCUCUCCUGCAGUCUGGCCUUUGAAAUCAGGCUACAGCACAGCCAUUUUAGGGCUGCAGCUUGUGCUGCCUCGCUGCCUUCCUCCAGCUGGCAUUAAAGGAUGUGUCUUUUUGGCUACUGCUCUGCUGGAGCUGAAACUUUCCCAAAACUCACAGCUAAGCAGUUCAGUGUGUGUUGCAUGGGACAGCUACAGAAUUCCAAUUACUGCAAUGUUUUCAGAAGUUAUGACCAUGCCCAGCAUGUAUUUCUCUGCAGUCAGGGAGAUCAGGAUGUGGAAAAUCUUUGGUCAGCAGUAGAGGUAGAAGUCAGAAGCUAAUCUGUUUCUGCUGGUGCAGUCACCCUGCACAUCUUGCAUGGCUGCUGCAGACAACUUGUCAUGGCAAGCACAUGGGAGUGAAGGAGACAGCAGCAAAAUGUCUCCUGAAAAGUCAAACUUGGCAGUGGCUGCAAUGCUCCCACCCUGCACUUGAACAAAAGACAGCCCCUGGGCACUGCACUCUGUAGAGGAACAGGGCUGGGGGCAGUGCCCAGACUCCUCCUGAGCUCUGCAGCACCACUGGAUGCACAGACCAAUGCAAUCUUAACUUUUGCCAUGGGUACCCACCAGUAAAGCAUUAAAUCAAUUAUUA